AUACGAAGGGGGCUAGCGUUGCUCGGAAUGACUGGGCGUAAAGGGCGUGUAGGCGGUUUUGACAGUCAGAUGUGAAAUCCCCGGGCUUAACCUGGGAGCUGCAUUUGAGACGUCAAGACUAGAGUGUGAGAGAGGGUUGUGGAAUUCCCAGUGUAGAGGUGAAAUUCGUAGAUAUAUGGAAGAACACCAGUGGCGAAGGCGGCUGUCUGGUCUGUAACUGACGCUGAGGCUCGAAAGCAUGGGGAGCGAACAGGAUUAGAUACCCUGGUAGUCCACGCUGUAAACGAUGUGUGCUAGAUGUUGGGUAACUUAGUUACUCAGUGUCGCAGUUAACGCGUUAAGCACACCGCCUGGGGAGUACGGCCGCAAGGUUGAA
rnacentral:rRNA from 1 species